GAUGAACGCUAGCGGCAGGCCUAACACAUGCAAGUCGAGGGGCAGCACAGAAACAGCAAUGUUUUGGUGGCGACCGGCGGACGGGUGCGUAACGCGUAUGCAACCUACCUUUAACAGGGGGAUAACGGAGAGAAAUUUCCACUACAACCCCAUAACAUCGAUCAAGGCAUCUUGAUUUGUUGAAAACACAGGUGGUUACAGAUAGGCAUGCGUUGUAUUAGGUAGUUGGUGAGGUAAUGGCUCACCAAGCCUACGAUACAUAGGGGGACUGAGAGGUUAGCCCCCCACACUGGUACUGAGACACGGACCAGACUACUACGGGAGGCAGCAGUGAGGAAUAUUGGUCAAUGGGGGCAACCCUGAACCAGCCAUGCCGCGUGCAGGAAGACGGCUCUAUGAGUUGUAAACUGCUUUUAAACAGGGAUAAAGCACAGUAUGUAUACUGUGUUGAAGGUACUGUAAGAAUAAGGAUCGGCUAACUCCGUGCCAGCCGCCGCUGUAC
rnacentral:rRNA from 1 species